rnacentral:rRNA from 1 species
UACAGAGGGUGCGAGCGUUGUCCGGAAUCACUGGGCGUAAAGGGCGCGUAGGUGGCGGCCCAAGUCCAUGGUGAAAGCUCGAUGCUCAACAUCGAGUCGGCCACGGAUACUGGGUUGCUCGAGCACUGUAGGGGCAGAUGGAAUUCCGGGUGUAGCGGCGGAAUGCGUAGAGAUCCGGAAGAACACCGGUGGCGAAGGCGGUCUGCUGGGCAGUUGCUGACACUGAGGCGCGACAGCGUGGGGAGCAAACAGG